AACGAACGCUGGCGGCAUGCCUAACACAUGCAAGUCGAACGAGAUCUUCGGGUCUAGUGGCGCACGGGUGCGUAACGCGUGGGAAUCUGCCCUUUGGUUCGGAAUAACAGUUGGAAACGACUGCUAAUACCGGAUGAUGACGAAAGUCCAAAGAUUUAUCGCCAGAGGAUGAGCCCGCGUAGGAUUAGCUAGUUGGUGUGGUAAAGGCGCACCAAGGCGACGAUCCUUAGCUGGUCUGAGAGGAUGAUCAGCCACACUGGGACUGAGACACGGCCCAGACUCCUACGGGGGGCAGCAGUGGGGAAUAUUGGACAAUGGGCGAAAGCCUGAUCCAGCAAUGCCGCGUGAGUGAUGAAGGCCUUAGGGUUGUAAAGCUCUUUUACCCGGGAUGAUAAUGACAGUACCGGGAGAAUAAGCUCCGGCUAACUCCGCGCCAGCCGCCGCCGUAAGAC
rnacentral:rRNA from 1 species